UCCAUCAGAUCAUUAGACCCCCCCUAACCUGAGCGCCGUUUUGACAAAGGACUUCCCCCCUAAUUUUUAUCUUCUUCGUUAAUCCCCAUCAAACCUUGGUGACUACUGCUUCCGCUUCAAAAAAUCGGAGGCUCAUCAUCUACUUCAUGAGAAUUUAACAAAAAUACCUAAGACCUAAAAAAAAGACCAAAAAAAGCUGACCAAAAAGCUGCCUAGAGAGGAAAUAUAGAGAGAGGAAUGAGAGUGACGGCGGAUUCAGAAGUAGAGCUUCCUAAACUUAAUUCUAUAGCGUCGGAUAUUCCACGUUUUGGGCGGAGUCACGUCCCUCGCCGUUAACCUUACUGCUUUUCUGGUCGCUCUGUGCUUUGCCACUAUUUUUUGCCAUAUUUUCCGAGGAGUUCCGAGUUCGUCGAGGUCCUCUUCGGUCGAUAGAAAAUUUUCGGGUCAAAAAUUCCACAAGUUUCAAGGUGCUGUAAUUUUAAUCCAAAUGCAUUUAUAUAAAGGUCUGAUUCUUCCCUGCUCUUUACAUGGUCGUUAAAUAUAUUUGAGUAUUCGUUGAGAUUUAAAACGGAACAUUCGAAUAUGGAGUUUGAGUAUUUGACUAUUCCCUGCUCUUCUAUCGAUUUGCUAUUUUCCUUAUGUUAGGAAUUACUGAUUUGUGGAGUUUGUUUCAAUAAUUAUCACACUUUUCUUUAUCAUCGACUGGGAGUAGUUGUAAGUAGUAUUAUUAACUAUUUCCUUACAGUAAAUUGGGUUUGUAGAUUUGUGAUAGAGGACAUGAACAAUCUUUAACUCUUUUUAUGAUGGGAAAGUUGAUGGUUUUCUUGACAAUAUUCUUUUGGCUCCUUCUGAUUUUGUUCUACUUGGCUAGAUUUGUAUUUAUUCGUGCUGUGAAUAUGCCCAAUCUUUUGUAGUUCUUCUAUCUUAAUUAGCCCUUUGUUUUAUUAGCAAUUUUCUUACUUGAUAAAAAUAAGAGUAGCAACGUUUUGUAUACCAAAGAAUUCAUGUCGAAACAUAUGUUUGAAGGUGUUUAUAAAUAUCUCACAUUUUGCCAAUCAACUGUUCUUUUUGAAAUGAACCUAUCAACCAUUCUUGUAUCCCUCUCUACGUCUAACAUAACCCAUUGUAUAUACGUGCUUUAGUCUCAUGCUCGUCAAAUCGAAACAAUUCGUGAAUAUCCAUAGGAUACUUUAGGCGAGCUCUUGAUUAAUCAAAUUAUCGUGAUUGUGUACAUGUUCGCGUGACAUAAUUAUGAUCCUAAAAACCAAUUUGGAGUAUGCGUUCGCUCAACUUCGGCCAAACUUUCUUAAUAAUAAUAAUGUGUUAUUAAUUGUGGACACGUUUGCGUGAUAUGAUUUUGACGCGCCAAACGAAAUGAGUACACGUAUGCGUGACUUGUUUUAAGAUAUUUUAUAGUUAAUAAUCAAGUAUUUAAAAGCGGUAAAAAGAUAAUUGCACAUAGGUCUUAAGAAUGAGUAGUUAAAUAAUUAAGCCAAAUAUAAAUUGCUAAGCGACCGUGCUAGAAUCACAGAACCCGGGAAUGCUUAAUUCCUUCUCCCGGGUUAACAGAAUUCCUUACUUAGAAUUUCUGGUUGGCAGACUUCAAAAAGAAAGUCAAAAUUUCCUCGAUUUGGGAUUGAAAAUAAAUCGGUGACUUGGGAGACAAAAUAAAUUAUCCCAAGUAGCGACUCUGAUUAAAUAAAAUAAUCCCAUUUCGAAUAAUGUCACUUAAAUUGAAAAAACUCCCUUAUACUUCCCUCGGGUGGUAAAAAAGGAGGUGUGGCAACUUUCGCAACUCUGCUGGGGAUUAAGUUGUGAGCACGUGAUUUUUACCCUAUAUGAAUUACUCCCACAAAUUCAAAACAAAAUAACUUUUCCCAUUGUUUGCAAUUUUGUGGAUUUUUGUGGCAUUUUUCUGUCAAUUGUUUGCAUUUGUCUGUGCACGUUUAUUUUAUUUAAUUAAUAAAAAACACAAAAAAUAUGUGUGUUUGCAUUUAGGAUUUAAUUUAACAUUUUAGGAUUAAUUAAGUAAUUGAGUUAUUUUAUAAAAAGUGGAAAAUCACAAAAAUAGUUAUUUUGCACCUUUUAAUUUUAAUUUUGAUUUUGAGUAGUUUUUCUUUAGUUUAUUAAUUGUGGUAAUUAUUUAGGAUUAGUUAGUAUUUUUGAUAAGUUAAUUUGGUUUUAUAACUUAAUUUAGGAUUUUAGUUUUAAUUUUUUGGAAAAAAAGAAAAAAGAAUUAAUUUUGAAAAAGAAAAAGGAAUUAGAGAGAGAGGUUUUUGGGCCGAAAAUGACCCCAGCCCAAUCAAAUACCCGUCCAAACACCCCACCUAACCCGGCCCAAUCCCUUUACCCGGUUCCGGUCAUCUUCAUUAACUCCAAACGACCCCGUUUCCCCCUAAAUUAAUCUCAGUCGUCUAUGUUUUAUGAUCUAACAGGCGGGAACUGCUGUGGGGGUUCAUAUAAGAGUGUCCGAAUUGCAUCCACCACCACCACCACCCCCAUUCCAUCUUUCCCCCAUUCCCGUCUUACUCCUUCAGAAACUAAUUCCCCAAACCCUAGCCGGCCCCAUUCCCACCUCCUAGUAGCCCAGCGGCGCCACCUCCAAUAUAUCCCAAAAUCACACCCUAUAACCACCUCGUUCCCCUAAUCUCAAAUCCACAUUCAGUUUCUCUCAAAUACCCCCAAAACCGUUCGAAUCUUAAAUCUAGGGUUUCGAGUUCUAGAAGCCAAGUCGAUUUAUUCAUGCUAGGACCUUCCUCCAGCUAUUUCUUAAUAUUCAGAGGCGAUUUGGUCUCAAAAUGACGUUACUCGUUUGUGCUUGACAAAGAACAAGCGAUUAAUGUUAUUUGGAGAUGAAAUCAGUGGGUCGAGUCCCGGGUUCGAGCUUUUGGUCAGUAGGUGUUUCUUUCCGGUUUUGUUCAUAUUGGUGUCACUUUAAUUGUCGUUCUUCCUCGCCUAUCUUUCUGUUUUUCCUUUCUUUUUCUCUGGUCAAUUCAAGUAAAGUGUGACCAACACUUCUGGUUGAAAGUUAAUUUGUGUGGCUCUAUUCUUUGUUGGCGUUAUUUUCCUAGUUUAUUUCACUAAUUUCUUUAGUUUGUUAAGUAUGGCUAAGUUGCUGAUUGUUAUCCGGUUUAACCUCUUAGUUCAAUUUGAUUAGUUUGUUUUGACAACUUAAUUAAUUCUCUGCAUGUUUGUAUGAAUUAAUCAAUAGAUUAGUUAGUUUGUUGAUUAGGGAAGUCGUUCCAGUAUUUGUGUCAUGCUGUUUUCCAAAGGCAUACAGAAUUUUGCUGGGUCAAUUAUUGAUUUGGGCUUUGGGUCUCUGACCCAUUUAAAAGGGAAGUUUAGCAUGUUCAUUCAGCUAAGCCAUUGGGUCACUUUGACCCAUGAGCUAAAGGGUAAAUAACCUAGGUUUAAAAGGGUAGUUUAGGUAAUUGGAGAAGGGAAUCUGUUUAGUAACAGACUAAGGAAGCUUCCCGGAAGCUGAAAAGCAAGUUUACUUGGCAAACAAGCCAAAAAUUCAGGGAUUAAGUAGCAAAACUGAAAAUUGGAGAAGGGUAAAAUAGCAAAAGUUGAAACUUAUAUCUGCUACCCUAGCACCUUGUAUAGAGGGAUCACUUUGCUGAAAAUAAAAUGGGGGGGGGGGGGGUCCAGAAAAAAGGCAGACGGCUAAAAGUUUUCACUGUUCCAUUGAAAUUUUCUCAUUUUUCUUUGAUUUCUGAAGUUUUCCAAGUGCUGAAACAUUUUCUGAUUCGUCUGAGGCUUAGAAUGAGUUGAAUUUGGUUGUUUUUCUGCAAACCAAUUCUGGAUUGAGUUUUGUGUUUGGAGUCCUAAUCAAAUUUGGAGUUUCAAAUUGAUUCAAAAUGACAUUUGAUACCUCCUCUUUGCUGUUUCUGGGCUGAUUGUACUGCUGUUGUUGAUUAACUCCUUGAUCUCUUAUUUCUUUCUUAAAUUCCAGGUAUGUGAUGACUCCUGAAUCAUGAAUGAAAUGUAGAGCUGAAGGUUAUGCAACCAAGUUGAAGUGGCUACAUGUUUCUUUGAUCAAAUGCUUAUUGGAUUUCCCUAUAGUCUCUCCACAUGUUCUCUGAUGCAGUUAUCAUGAGUAAUUGUCUAUAUGGUCAAUGUUAUAUUUCAUUUUAAGACUUGGAGUUUGAAUUUGCUUGAAUGUAAUGACUUAGGACCGUUUGGACUUUUAAAUGUGUUGAUGUGAUUAAGAAAUAAGGAUUUUAGUUGAUUAGUUGAAGUUAUUUGGCUUGGCCAUGGUUCAAAUCCAUUAAUUCGAAUUUUGGGUCUGACACAAUCAAUUCACGUUCUGCUUUCCCAUUUUAGUUGUCAAAACUUGCUUUUUGAUGGCUUGGAGUAUUCAUUAGCUUAAGUUUGAAGUGGCCUUUUGUCUAAGUUUAAUUGAUGGUGCAAUGUUUAAUAAUGGGUAUUGUGAUUCUCCGGCUGUUAAGUGCCAAUUUUCCAGAAUUCGUUGAUGUUUCCCUCCAACAUAGUUUUGCAGAUUAAUUUGAAGAGUUAAAGAUUUAAAGUUGCAUGUUAGUUAGUUGUCAAAGC
rnacentral:lncRNA from 1 species